ACGCACGCUGGCGGCGUGCUUAACACAUGCAAGUCGAACGGAAAGGCCCUGCUUUUGUGGGGUGCUCGAGUGGCGAACGGGUGAGUAACACGUGAGUAACCUGCCCUUGACUUUGGGAUAACUUCAGGAAACUGGGGCUAAUACCGGAUAGGAGCUCCUGCUGCAUGGUGGGGGUUGGAAAGUUUCGGCGGUUGGGGAUGGACUCGCGGCUUAUCAGCUUGUUGGUGGGGUAGUGGCUUACCAAGGCUUUGACGGGUAGCCGGCCUGAGAGGGUGACCGGCCACAUUGGGACUGAGAUACGGCCCAGACUCCUACGGGAGGCAGCAGUGGGGAAUAUUGCACAAUGGGCGGAAGCCUGAUGCAGCAACGCCGCGUGCGGGAUGACGGCCUUCGGGUUGUAAACCGCUUUCGCCUGUGACGAAGCGUGGGUGACGGUAAUGGGUAAAGAAGCACCGGCUAACUACGUG
rnacentral:rRNA from 1 species